rnacentral:rRNA from 1 species
UACAGAGGUCUCAAGCGUUGUUCGGAUUCAUUGGGCGUAAAGGGUGCGUAGGCGGCGCGGUAAGUCGGGUGUGAAAUUUCGAGGCUUAACUUCGAAACUGCAUUCGAUACUGCCGUGCUUGAGGACUGGAGAGGAGACUGGAAUUUACGGUGUAGCGGUGAAAUGCGUAGAUAUCAGGAGGAACACCUGUGGUGUAGACGGCUCUCUGGACCGCAACUGACGCUGAGACACGAAAGCGUGGGUAGCAAACAGG